AGACGCAGCAGCAGCGGAGCAGAACAGACCUCUGUUCUUUGAGCAGGAACAGAGGUCUUGCUGAGAAGAAAGAGAAAAGGAUGUGACUAGUGAGCUAUUACAGCAUCAUUGACAAGUCCAGGCAAAGUGAUGUCAUCAUGUUCCCAGAUCUCAGCAAAUAACUUGGGUCGGCCUUCAAUUGAUUCCAGCUGAGAGGCAGCCACAAUAUCUACAAGACACACAUCAUUGAUACAUGCAGC